rnacentral:rRNA from 1 species
UGGGGAAUAUUGCGCAAUGGGCGAAAGCCUGACGCAGCGACGCCGCGUGAGGGAUGAAGGUUUUCGGAUCGUAAACCUCUGUCAGAAGGGAAGAAACCGCACUGUGCUAAUCAGCAGUGCCUUGACGGUACCUUCAAAGGAAGCACCGGCUAACUCCGUGCCAGCAGCCGCGGUAAUACGGAGGGUGCAAGCGUUAAUCGGAAUUACUGGGCGUAAAGCGCACGUAGGCUGCUUUGUAAGUCAGGGGUGAAAUCCCACGGCUCAACCGUGGAACUGCCUUUGAUACUGCUUAGCUUGAAUCCGGGAGAGGGUGGCGGAAUUCCAGGUGUAGGAAUGAAAUCCGUAGAUAUCUGGAGGAACAUCAGUGGCGAAGGCGGCCACCUGGACCGGUAUUGACGCUGAGGUGCGAAAGCGUGGGGAGCAAACAGG